CCAGCAGCUGCGGUAAUUCCAGCUCCAAUAGCGUAUAUUAAAGUUGUUGCGGUUAAAAAGCUCGUAGUUGGAUUUCUGUUGAAAACAGGCGGUCCACCCCUUGGGUGAGUAUCUGCAUUGGUCUCGGCAUCCUCUCGAAAUACGUGUCUGCGCUUAAUUGCGUGGUGCGGAGUUCGAGACUUUUACUUUGAGGAAAUUAGAGUGUUCACGGCAAGCAUACGCCUUGAAUAUAUUAGCAUGGAAUAAUAAUAUAGGAUCUUGGUUCUAUUUUGUUGGUUUCUAGAGCUAAGAUAAUGAUUAAUAGGGACAAUUGGGGGCAUCCGUAUUAACACGUCAGAGGUGAAAUUCUUGGAUUGUGUUACGACGAACUACUGCGAAAGCAUUUGCCAAGGAUGUUUUCAUCAAUCAAGAACGAAAGU
rnacentral:rRNA from 1 species